rnacentral:tRNA from 1 species
GUUGGUAUAGCUCAGUGGCAGAGCACAUGCUUAGCAUGCAUGAGGUCCUGGGUUCAAUCCUCAGUACUUCCA